rnacentral:misc_RNA from 1 species
GUAAUAAUCAAAUCCUUACUCAACAGGAUAACAACAUUUUACACUGCAAAAAUUUGUAACCAGAAUGUAGACAAUGGGGGCAGGUUGUAAGGAUAAUGAGCACUAAGCCAUUGGCUUACAACAAGCUGCUGUCGAGACCCAACUGUGUUUUGGCAUGAUCUUAAACAAAUAUGGCUUCAAACUUUGCACAUGGGUGGCUUUCAAUGUGAUCCCUAAAAUCAGUGUCUCCUUUGAAUGUGAAGUUGUACAAUGCUUGUCGUUGUGUCAUGCCAAGAGGAUGUAAUCUGUAGAGUUUUAGUUCAUCUCGUCCGCGUAGUAUUUCAGGUCUUUCUUCUUUCCAAAUGGGAACAUGCUUUAGAGAUUUGAACUUUGACACUACUGUACAUUCAAAAGCCUCCAACGACAAAUUAGAUGACCUUAGGAAAAUGGACUCCAUCUCAAACCUCCCUCUUUCACGUACAUAUACAUGAUAUACAGUUUCUGAAUCUCUGGUACAUUUGCAGGGACGUUUCUUAAAUUUUGGAUUCUGCUCUUCUCUCUCCCGAAUACUUGUUGCUAAGAAGAUACACAAACGGCAUGAAGAGUGGACUGCUGCCAUGUCAACCAGGGCUUUGAAAGAAUCAGAUGGUCCCUCAACCUUCCACCUUAACAACUCAUUAUAUGCACUAGGAUUUGCUGCAAGGUACUUCAUAGUAUUGGCAACGCUUUCAGCAUCUUUCAGCUCUUUAAUGUGUAAAAGUGAAUUAUUAGAAGGAGCAAACUCUUGGAUGUUUGGAGCACCAAUCACCACAGGGAUUGAUCCAGCA